GCCCAAGUGGCGGAAUUGGCAGACGCGCUAGGUUCAGGACCUAGUGAGCUUUACGCUCGUGGAGGUUCAAGUCCUCUCUUGGGCA
rnacentral:tRNA from 1 species